UCAUAAAUCUUCUCCCCGUCGUCCCCGUCCCCGACCAUCCUUAAUCUUCUCCGGGAAUCUCUUCUUCACGGUUGUUGCUUCCUUGCUGGAAAUCUUUUCUCCGGGAACCCUAUCUGGAAAUCUCUUCAGUCUUCUCUGGUAUUUAUUUGUUGAUCUCGUUUCUACAUAUUAUUUGGGUGAAAAUUCAUUUGGGUGAAAAGAAAAUCAUAAGAAAUGUUUGUUUGAUCCUGUUUAAUGUUUAUACGAAAAUCAAACAGGCUGUGGCUAAAGUUUUUUGAAUCUUUGCGAUGCUCGAGCAAUUGGUUCUUGGAAAUAUUUGUUGAGGUAUAAUCUUUCUUUCACAUGAUUUCUCUCUUUUAUAUACGUAGUUGAAGCAUGGUUUUCCAACACGUAGUUGUCCAGGUGUGCCUUCUUUGAGAGAAAAUGGACACGCACCCAUGAUCGAGCCAUUGAUACCUGUUGAGAUGUAAUUGGGUAUUUGGGUUGCUUAACUAUAUAGUGCAACUCAAUUAUAUACCAACAAUAAUAAUGUUCCUGAACAUAUUAUAUUAAUAACCUCAUUCCAUGUGCAAUACUCUUCCACCCAAACCAAUUUAAUUUAUCACUUUGAUUUUUUUUGGAGGAAUUAAAUAUUUUAUUUGUACUGG
rnacentral:lncRNA from 1 species